rnacentral:rRNA from 1 species
CUCCAGGAAAUACGUGAUGUCCGAGCCAACUGUGCUGGCCCAUGGAUGCUUUGCGAUGAUUUCAACCUAAUCUAUCACGACGAGGAUAAGAACAACGGAAACCUCAACCGUCGCAUGAUGGGGUGCUUCCGACGGGUCAUCAACGACCUUGCUCUCAAGGAGAUAUACCUAAACGGAUGGCGCUACACUUGGUCAAACGAGCAGACCCCGCCAACUCUGGUUCACCUUGAUCGCGUCCUAUGCACCGCGGAUUGGGAAGAGGAGCAUGGCGAGUGUCACCUACAUUGUCUGGCUUCGGUCAUAUCUGACCACAACCCCCUCCUCCUCGACUGCUCGCCCCUACCCCCAGCACGACGGCGCUUCCACUUCGAGGACUACUGGACACGAAUCGAGGGAUUUCAUGACAUGGUCAUAGACGCGUGG